rnacentral:rRNA from 1 species
AUUGAACGCUGGCGGCGUGCCUAACACAUGCAAGUCGAGCGGCAGCGCGGGAGCAAUCCUGGCGGCGAGCGGCGGACGGGUGAGUAACGCUUGGGAAUCUGCCUGUUAGUGGGGGACAACCCGGGGAAACUCGGGCUAAUACCGCAUACGCGCUACGGUGGAAAGCCGGGGACCGCAAGGCCUGGCGCUAACAGAUGAGCCCAAGUCGGAUUAGCUAGUUGGUAGGGUAACGCCACCAAGGCGACGAUCCGUAACUGGUCUGAGAGGACGACCAGUCACACCGGAACUGAGACACGGUCCGGACUCCUACGGGAGGCAGCAGUGGGGAAUAUUGGACAAUGGGGGAAACCCUGAUCCAGCGACGCCGCGUGGGU